GGCCCGUUGGUCUACAGGGGUAUGAUUCUCGCUUUGAGUGCGAGAGGUCCCGGGUUCAAAUCCCGGACGGGCCC